UACUUGAGUACAUAAGUGCGAUUGAGUUA
rnacentral:piRNA from 1 species